GUCCCCGUAGCUCAGACGGAUAGAGCGACCGCCUCCUAAGCGGUAGGCCACAGGUUCGACUCCUGUCGGGGACGCCA
rnacentral:tRNA from 1 species